ACCAUGUUUAUAAAAUUGAUAUCUCCUAUUUUGCUGUAACAAAAGCAGGCGGCGCUGGACGAGACAUCGUUUCAACUACCCAGUCGGUUGAUACAUACAUAUAAAAAGGCCAGACUCCCAUAAUCCAAGUCCUAUCCCUUAACCGAGUAAAAAUAAAAGAACGAUCAGCUGACCACCAUGCCGCCGGUGACCAGAUCCCAGACAAAGAGGCUCAGGGAGCAAGAGCUCCAGGCCAAGGCAUUUUGCGGAAAGAGGUGUGCCGUGCGAGUCCGACGCCCGACCCAACGGGAAAUCAACUCCGCUUGCAAAUCCCAAUCCGUAAGUGGCUUGGCUCCGGAAGCAGUCGAAAACCACUCUCAUUCGGCAGGCCAGACACUGAUCCAGCGCUUUAACAGCCGUCUUCUUAACUGGUUAGUAAGGAUCAAGCGGACGAACUAGCCCAGUAGCGUGCAUACAUCAAAGAGAGGUAACGACGGAGAAGGGGACAUACAUAUAGUACUUUGAAUACUUUCAAAUAUACAGGACAUUCAAUCUACAACAAGAAACACAAUUUAUAUUAUUGCGUACAUGAAAAGCUGAAUGUAUCAUGCGUCUCAAAACUUGAUCGACAAAUAUACAUAAAUAGCUUAUCAUUAUUUCGAAGCGUAGCAUA